UUCCAGACUCCUACGGGAGGCAGCAGUGAGGAAUAUUGGUCAAUGGGCGGGAGCCUGAACCAGCCAAGUCGCGUGAGGGAAGACGGUCCUAUGGAUUGUAAACCUCUUUAGGCGGGGAGCAAUGCCGGGCACGCGUGUCCGGAGGGAGAGUACCCGCAGAAUAAGCAUCGGCUAACUCCGUGCCAGCAGCCGCGGUAAUACGGAGGAUGCGAGCGUUAUCCGGAUUUAUUGGGUUUAAAGGGUGCGUAGGCGGCAUUAUAAGUUAGUGGUAAAAUAUUGGGGCUUCACCUCACUACGCCAUUAAUACUGUAGAGCUAGAGAACAGACGAGGUAGGCGGAAUAAGUUAAGUAGCGGUGAAAUGCAUAGAUAUAACUUAGAACACCGAUAGCGAAGGCAGCUUACCAGACUGAGUCUGACGCUGAUGCACGAGAGCAUGGGUAGCGAACAGGAUUAGAUACCCGCGUACC
rnacentral:rRNA from 1 species